GUUUAAAUAGCUUAAAAUUAAAGCAUAAUAUUGAAGAUAUUAGGAUAAGUUUAUACUUUUUAAACA
rnacentral:tRNA from 2 species